UUUUAAGGGAAUGCUAACUAUCUACUUGAUUUUAACAUUCUAGCAAAAAAUGUGUGUUUCAAUGAAAACCUUUUCCUUGUUCAUAGGAUACAACUCCAUGUAAUCUAUCUGAUUCUAGUCCUGCAUUGUCUUUGAGCUCUUUUACAUCCGUUUGUAAGUUGUAGGUCACUGAGAGACAUGCACAACUUAGAGACCUCAACGGACACACUGAUAUGUCCAGUUGAUUUACCUACUAGAACCAUGUAAACUUUGAUGACAGAAGCGCACUACACACAUCUCAAACCAAU